rnacentral:rRNA from 1 species
AACGCUGGCGGCGCGCUUAACACAUGCAAGUCGAGCGAGAACCGGGACUUCGGUCCCGGGGAAAGCGGCGAACGGGUGAGUAACACGUGGGUAAUCUGCCCUCGAUUCUGGGAUAGCCCGGGGAAACCCGGAUUAAUACCGGAUAGCCUUUCGAGCCUUCGGGCGCGAAAGAAAAGGUAGCUUCGGCCUCCGAUCGAGGAUGAGCCCGCGGUGGAUUAGCUUGUUGGUGAGGUAAUGGCUCACCAAGGCGACGAUCCAUAGCUGGUCUGAGAGGACGAUCAGCCGCACUGGGACUGAGACACGGCCCAGACUCCUACGGGAUGCAGCAGUGGGGAAUCUUGCGCAAUGGGCGAAAGCCUGACGCAGCGACGCCGCGUGAGGGAAGAAGGCCUUAGGGUUGUAAACCUCUUUCAGGCGGGACGAAGCCACUCGGGUGAAUAGCCCAGAGGGUGACGGUACCGCCAGAAGAAGCCCCGGCUAACUACGUGCCAGCCGCCGCGGUAAAAC